ensembl:rRNA 5S_rRNA 5S ribosomal RNA
GCUUACGGCCAUACCAGCCUGAACACGCCCGAUCUCGUCCGAUCUCGGAAGCUAAGCAGGGUCGGGCCUGGUUAGUACUUGGAUGGGAGACCGCCUGGGAAUACCAGGUGCUGUAAGCU